rnacentral:tRNA from 1 species
AUUAAGAAGCUAUGAAUCAGCAUUAGCCUUUUAAGCUAAAGAAAGAGGGACUCCCCCCUCCUUAAUGAU